GCCUCGACACUUCCCGCACGAUUCUCGGCGACGCAAUAAAACUCGCUCGAGUCAGCCUCCUGUGCGUUCGUCAAUACCAGUGUGCUCUUCUUCUGGAAUUCACCGUCUUCGAAUAUCAGUAUUUUUUGGAAACUGCUGAAGGCCGUGUGAUUCGAGAGCAGUCUUCCGUUCCAAUACCACUUUAUUUGGGCCUCCGGUGUGGCGCUCACGCGACACACUAUGCUGGCGUUCUCGCCUAUCGUGGCCUCGGCGUAACGAGUGACGACGAGGAGAACUGGACGGCAGGCAAAGUCGUCGACGUUUCAGAUUUUCGAGGAGGUCCAGUCCGUCGAACGCCUUGGAUUCGAUCUCUCGUAUUUUGCAAUGUGAUAUGUCGAGUUUGACGAGAUUCGGUGUGUUCUUCAGGGCGUUUGCGGGCACCUUCUGCACCGGAUUAUGCGAGAGGAUCAGGUCCCGGAGGAACUGAGUGUCGGCGAAACUGGCGUCGGGUAUCGCCGUGAGCAAAUUGUUGCUCAGGUCCAACUCGACGAGAUUAGUCAAACCGGCCAGAGCCUUGCUGUCGAUUCGAUCGAUGUGACAACUGCGGAGAUACAGUCGCUGUAGAUUGGUAAGUCCUAGCUGUUUAAAAAUGUUUUUCGACAAUAUCUUAAGUUUAUUUCCACUCAUGUCCAACACUUGGG
rnacentral:misc_RNA from 1 species